GACGAACGCUGGCGGCGUGCUUAACACAUGCAAGUCGAACGGAAAGGCCCUUCGGGGUACUCGAGUGGCGAACGGGUGAGUAACACGUGGGUGAUCUGCCCUGCACUUUGGGAUAAGCCUGGGAAACUGGGUCUAAUACCGAAUAGGACCACGCUCUUCAUGGGGUGUGGUGGAAAGCUUUUGCGGUGUGGGAUGGGCCCGCGGCCUAUCAGCUUGUUGGUGGGGUAAUGGCCUACCAAGGCGACGACGGGUUGCCGGCCUGAGAGGGUGACCGGCCACACUGGGACUGAGAUACGGCCCAGACUCCUACGGGAGGCAGCAGUGGGGAAUAUUGCACAAUGGGCGCAAGCCUGAUGCAGCGGCGCCGCGUGAGGGAUGACGGCCUUCGGGUUGUAAACCUCUUUCAGUACCGACGAAGCGCAAGUGACGGUAGGUACAGAAGAAGGACCGGCCAACUACGUGCCAGCCGCCGCCGUAAUAC
rnacentral:rRNA from 1 species